CCUACGGGCGGCAGCAGUGAGGAAUAUUGGUCAAUGGACGAGAGUCUGAACCAGCCAAGUAGCGUGAAGGAUGACUGCCCUAUGGGUUGUAAACUUCUUUUAUAUGGGAAUAAAAUGUUCCACGUGUGGGAUUUUGUAUGUACCAUAUGAAUAAGGAUCGGCUAACUCCGUGCCAGCAGCCGCGGUAAUACGGAGGAUCCGAGCGUUAUCCGGAUUUAUUGGGUUUAAAGGGAGCGUAGGUGGAUUGUUAAGUCAGUUGUGAAAGUUUGCGGCUCAACCGUAAAAUUGCAGUUGAAACUGGCAGUCUUGAGUACAGUAGAGGUGGGCGGAAUUCGUGGUGGAGCGGUGAAAUGCUUAGAUAUCACGAAGAACUCCGAUUGCGAAGGCAGUUCACUGGACUGCAACUGACACUGAGGCUCGAAAGUGUGGGUAUCAAACAGGAUUAGAUACCCUUGUAGUC
rnacentral:rRNA from 1 species